CCAGGGGUGGCAGAGUGGACAAAUGCACGAGUCUGUAAAACUCGCGCCUCACGGCUACGAAGGUUCGAAUCCUUCCCCCUGGA
rnacentral:tRNA from 1 species